rnacentral:rRNA from 1 species
UACGUAGGGUGCGAGCGUUAAUCGGAAUUACUGGGCGUAAAGCGUGCGCAGGCGGUUGUGCAAGACAGAUGUGAAAUCCCCGGGCUCAACCUGGGAACUGCAUUUGUGACUGCACGGCUCGAGUGCGGCAGAGGGGGAUGGAAUUCCGCGUGUAGCAGUGAAAUGCGUAGAUAUGCGGAGGAACACCGAUGGCGAAGGCAAUCCCCUGGGCCUGCACUGACGCUCAUGCACGAAAGCGUGGGGAGCAAACAGG